GAGAACGCUGAUGUCAUCUUUCGUAAGGUGGACGUUGACGAUGCUUCAGACAUUUCCGAAUUCUGCGGGAUCGCUGCCAUGCCAACCUUUGUGUUCUUCAAGCAGGUGAAUGAGAUCGACCGUUUUCAAGGUAAAAAUGAGAAUACCCUGGAGGAGAAGAUAAGCAAGCAUCGAUAGGCUGAUGCUCGUCCGUCCGGAAACUACGUACACGGCUGCAGAAACUCUGAUUCAUUGAAUGAUGUUUCGAUUUGAGGCUUAAAAUGUAUAUUGUGGACUUCUAUCUGUGCCCUGGUUUAGAAACCUGAUGAACCUGGUGCAAAGAUUGCUCACAGCACUAUUGAAUAUUCCGCUGUGCGAUAGAACAAGCUGCAGCUGGGACGGUUCUUCUUUUUAAUACAGUAUGUGUGCAUGUUUAUAUUAAAUACUACUUGUACUUUGACGGGGUUAUUACGUCAUUACCUUCACAAAAGGAAAACACUUUGUUUUUGCUCUCCGUUUUUUCCAUCUUCUUCUCCAAACAAAUAAGAUCAAUUGUUCGGACCAGAUGACUGUCACCAUGGUUACUGGAGAUGUAGCAGACACCCUGUGGUGUUCGGUUACAUAAUGUAGCAAGUGGUAGGACACAACUAUAUAUAGAUAUGGCCAUGGAGUAAGAAUGAACAGAGCAUUAUGUAUGGACAUUAUAAACAUUACGUUUUUGCUUACAAAUCCCAUUAUCCUACUUUUCUGACCUUUGUAACUCUGUUUCUAGUUACACUUCAUGACUUACGA